rnacentral:rRNA from 1 species
CCUACGGGGGGCAGCAGUAGGGAAUUUUGCGCAAUGGGCGAAAGCCUGACGCAGCAACGCCGCGUGAUCGAUGAAGCUUCUAGGAGCGUAAAGAUCUGUCGUGAGGGAAGAAAAAUUCGGAGGUAAAUAAUUUUCGUUUUUGACGGUACCUCACAAGAAAGCACCGGCUAACUUCGUGCCAGCAGCCGCGGUAAUACGAGGGGUGCUAGCGUUGUCCGGAAUCAUUGGGCGUAAAGGGUCCGUAGGCGGUUUAACAAGUCAAUUGUUAAAGACAUCGGCUUAACCGAUGGAAUGCAGUUGAAACUGUUAGAAUAGAGUUUAGGAGAGGAAAGUGGAAUUUCUGGUGUAGCGGUGACAUGCGUAGAUAUCAGAAGGAACACCAAUGGCGAAGGCAACUUUCUGGCCUAAAACUGACGCUGAGGGACGAAAGCGUGGGGAGC